GGCCUGAUAGUUCAGUGGUAGAAUUCUUGCUUUGGGAAUAGCUUCAUGGCUUCACUCAAUUGUAAGAGGUCUCCGGUUCGAUCCCGGAUUAGGCCC